GGGGAUUUAGCUCAGCGGUAGAGUGCUUGCCUAGCAGGUGUAAGGCCCUGGGUUCGAUCCCCAGCUCCG
rnacentral:tRNA from 1 species